GACGAACGCUGGCGGCGUGCCUAAUACAUGCAAGUCGAACGAGAGCGACCGGUGCUUGCACUGGUCAAUCUAGUGGCGAACGGGUGAGUAACACGUGGGUAACCUGCUCAUCAGAGGGGGAUAACAUCCGGAAACGGAUGCUAAAACCGCAUAGGUCUUCGAGCCGCAUGGCUUGAAGAGGAAAAGAGGCGCAAGCUUCUGCUGAUGGAUGGACCCGCGGUGCAUUAGCUAGUUGGUGAGGUAACGGCUCACCAAGGCCGUGAUGCAUAGCCGACCUGAGGGGGUGAUCGGCCACAUUGGGACUGAGACACGGCCCAAACUCCUACGGGAGGCAGCAGUAGGGAAUCUUCCGCAAUGGACGCAAGUCUGACGGAGCAACGCCGCGUGAGUGAAGAAGGUUUUCGGAUCGUAAAACUCUGUUGUUAGAGAAGAACAAGUGCUAGAGUAACUGUUAGCGCCUUGACGGUAUCUAACCAGAAAGCCACGGCUAACUACGUG
rnacentral:rRNA from 1 species